rnacentral:rRNA from 1 species
CUUAAAAUUUAAAGAAUUUGGCGGUAUUUUAGUCUAGUUAGAGGAACCUGUUUCGUAAAUGAUACUACACGUAAUAUCUUACUAGCUUUUGUUUUAGUAUGUAUACCGCCAUUAUUAGAUAAUUUUUAUAGAAGUAGUUAUUGGAAGUAAAAUUUUUAGAUAUAUUAGGUCAAGGUGCAACUUAUAGGAAUAGAAGAAAAUGGGUUACAAUAAAAUUUAUUUAAACGAAUUAACGAAGGAAGAGUAGGAAGAAUUCUGUUAUGAAGGAGGAUUUAAUUGUAACGAGAUUUUAAUAAGAUCUAGUGAUACUAGCUCUAAAUUAUGUACACAUACGCCCG